rnacentral:lncRNA from 1 species
GGCCUUUGCAGAAAGUUUGCCCACCCCUUAGAGUACAGAAAAAGAUUUCAGAGAGUGUCAGUUUGGGAAGGUCCUUGAAAAAUCCCGUGGCAAAGAAAAGUUGUGAGAAAAAGGUUUAUGUUUUGUCAAAGAAAUGCAAAGAUGACAGAUGCCAACCUGCCUUUUCUUCCAGCGGCAGAGGACCUCGGGCCGUGGUGUGCGUGCCCGUGUAUGGGUGUGGGUAUGUGCACCUGCACACGCGCGUGCUUACACGCAGCUCAAAACGAUGCCACCCCGUCCAGAGUGAUUUUGGCCAUCAUGGUUCAAAUCAACAGAUUUUUCUGGAAAGUUUCUGCAUACAGGCCGUGCUCCCAACAGGAGAUGCAAAGAUGGGAAAGGAUUCUGCUUGCUUUGCAAAUAGUAACUGACAACAAAUAGGAAGGAGUGAGGCUGAUGGAGAGCUCGGGGAAGCAGCUCUCUGUCCCUGGGAGGGCUGCAGAGGACCCCGCACAGCCAUUCUGGGGUGUGAUCUUCCUUUCAUUCUCGUGAGAGCAGCUGAGUGGAAACCAAGAGCCUGGCUUUUCCGUGAGGACAGGAAGCCUCUGAUAGUUGCCUUCCCUCUGGAGGUGACGCAGACUGGGAAGAAAACAUAUUCUUACCUCAAAUGCCCAAACAUCAUUUGGGACUCUGUGGAGAAGCCUGGGUGACCUACGGCUGAUGUGGUAAAAUCCAGACUGACUCUGGUUGUGCUUUCUCUUAAAGUCAGCUGAGUUUUCCCAAUUUUUAUCUUUUUUUUUUUCAGGGUCUCUCUCUGUCACCCCAGCAAGAGUGCAGGGCUCACCGCAGCCUUGACCUCCCAGGCCCAAGCAGUGCCCCCGCCUCAGCCUCCCAGGUAGCUGGGAUUACGGUAGCACACCACCAUGGUUUCCCAGUCUUAUAACCAACUAGAUCAGCUCAUCACAUGUCCCGCAAGCAUGCAGUGGCAUGUCACAGUGCCCCUCUGACAGCAGGGCAGGGUCAUUUGUUGAGAGAAACCCACUGAGGAGGAAAUAAAUUAAUGUCCCUCCUUUGCUCCCAUCACCUCCAGCUGCACCAUCCUUCACCAGGACCCAUCAGAGCUUCCCCGGGGAUGCUGCCCUGUAGUUCUCAGGGAAGCUGAGAGCUCUGUGCUUUGGCUGCAUCAUCCUUCACCAGAACCCAUCAGAGCUUGCCUGGGGAUGCUGCCCUGUGGUUCUCGGGGAAGCUGAGAGCUCUAUGUUGCAUCUUCCAGGGCACCUGUAGUCUCCGAAGUGUUGGCUGCAAGAAUGGCUAAGCAGUGCACUCUUUUCCGACAAAGAUAGUAUUUUAAUUGCAGACAGAAUGCAGAUAUUGUUUCCAGUAUUGCCUCCGACACUGAAUUUUAGUCCAGGCAUGGUGACUCAUGCCAGCAAUCCCAACCUUUAGAGAGGCUGAGGCUGGAGGACUGCCUGAGGCUGGAAGUUCGAGACCAGCCCUGACAACAUAGUGAGACCCUGUCUCUACCAAAAAAGAAGAAGAAGAAGGAGAAGGAGAGGAGGAGGAGGAGGAGGAAGAAAAGGAGAAGGAGGAGGAGAAGGAAGAGGAAGAAAUUAAAAUUAGCCAGACAUGGUGGUACAUGCCUGUAGUCGUAGCCAUUCAGGAGGCUGAGGCAGGAGGCCUGAAGUUUGAGGUUACAGGUGAGCUAUGAUUGCACCACUGCACUCCAGCCUUGGCAAUGGAGAGAGACCCUGUCUCAGAAAAAGAAAAAAAA